UACGUAGGGGGCGAGCGUUGUCCGGAUUUAUUGGGCGUAAAGAGCGUGUAGGCGGCCAGGUAGGUCUGCUGUGAAAACUCGAGGCUCAACCUCGAGACGUCGGCGGAAACCAUCUGGCUAGAGUCCGGAAGAGGAGAGUGGAAUUCCCGGUGUAGCGGUGAAAUGCGCAGAUAUCGGGAAGAACACCCGUGGCUAAGGCGGCUCUCUAGUACGGUACUGACGCUGAGACGCGAAAGCGUGGGGAGCGAACAGG
rnacentral:rRNA from 1 species